rnacentral:rRNA from 1 species
GACGAACGCUGGCGGCGUGCUUAACACAUGCAAGUCGAACGGAAAGGCCCUGCUUUUGUGGGGUGCUCGAGUGGCGAACGGGUGAGUAACACGUGAGUAACCUGCCCUUGACUUUGGGAUAACUUCAGGAAACUGGGGCUAAUACAGGAUAGGAGUUCCUGCUGCACGGAGGGGGUUGGAAAGUUUCGGCGGUUGGGGAUGGAUUCGCGGAUUAGCAGCUUGUUGGUGGGGUAGUGGCUUACCAAGGCUUUGACGGGUAGCCGGCCUGAGAGGGUGACCGGCCACAUUGGGACUGAGAUACGGCCCAGACUCCUACGGUAGGCAGCAGUGGGGAAUAUUGCACAAUGGGCGGAAGCCUGAUGCAGCAACGCCGCGUGCGGGAUGACGGCCUUCGGGUUGUAAACCGCUUUCGCCUGUGACGAAGCGUGAGUGACGGUACUGGGUAAAGAAGCACCGGCUAACUACGUG